UCGGCCUCCCAAAGUGCUGGGAUUACAGGCGUGAGCCACCACGCCCGGCUACAUUCUUGAAUUACAUGUUUCUCCCCACUCAUGCUGACAACACUCUGGCAUUCCCCUGUUUUGAGCUGAACUCACUGGUUACCCCUGGACAGCUUCAUGUUCAUGGCUCAUGUUCAUUAGCUCUGUUCAUGGCUAAGGACGGCUAGCCUGAGAGGUGACACAGAGUUCAGGGAAAGCACAGAUUGCCUCAGCGAAGGCACCAUGGAGAGGAGACCGGAAUUGUGGAAGAAACAGGAUCGUGCACUGAGAACUGUCCUCUUUAUUCUACCAAGUACGAUUUAUUAGCCAAGUUGACAUUUGUCGAUUUGGUUAUAGUAACUCUUACAAGCAAUUCUUAAGACACACACACAGCUUGCUCCUGAACUCCAGCAUGUUGCAAGCUGCGUUUUUCCUCGGCCUCCAGCUCCUGCCCGGGAACUGUCUGCACGUCUAACACCUGCUUCUCUUCAGUCCACAGCUCUCUCAGCCUGGCCCACGCAGGCCCCAGCCAGGGGCAUGCCAAGGACUUGGCAGUUUCUGUGCCACCUCCUGAGACACGUUUCCUGACCACUGGCAUAGUGGAUCAUUUUGCCUCCUUUCCUGCUUACGUCUCCUCGUUAUCACUGUCGAUGGAUAUGCUUUAAAAGUCUCACAGUCUUUUUUAUCAACCAAUAGACUCCCCUCAUCCACUAAAAGCUAAGGCUGCCACAAAUGAAGGGGUGCAGUGAGAACGGCAGAUGGUUCCAUGGCGCCACCCACUGUCCAGGAAUGCAUGUUGCAGCCAGGUAUGGUGACACAUGCCUGUAGUCCCAGCUACUCAGGAGGCUGAAAUGGGAGGAUCACUUGAGCUGGGGAGAUCGAGACUGCAGUGAGCCAUGAUCACACCACCGCACUCUAGUCUGGGCAACAGAGAGAGACUCUGCCUCAAAAAAAAAAAAAAAAGAGGAAAAAGCCCACUAAGGUACUUCCCACAAUGGAAUACUGUGGAGAAUCAACAAGUAUGAGGAAGACUGUAUUGAUUGAUGUGGAAAUGUCUGCAGGAUCCAUUCCGUGAGAAGUAAGCUAAAGAACCACGUAUACAGUAUGCUUCCUUUUGUGCACAAAGGGUGGGAAAUUGCAAGCCCAUUAUUAUUUUUGCAUAAACACUGAAAAACUGGAAACUAAAAAGUGGGUUAACUAUAGGAGCAGGACAGGGCACAGGAAGGCAAGACAGAUGUGGGAGGAAUCCUUUUCUUUUUUUUUUUCUUGAGACAGUCUUACUUUGUCACCCAGGGUGGAGUGCAGUGGCACAAUCACGACUCACUGCAGCCUUGACCUCCUGGGUCCCAGUGAUCCUCCUGCCUCAGCCUCCUGUGUAGAUGGGACCAGAGGCACAUGCUACCAUGCCCCAGUAAUUUUUGUUGUUGUUGUAGAGAUGGGGUCUCACUAUGUUGCCUAGGCUGGUUUCCAACUCCUGGACUCAAGUGAUCCUCCCACCUCAGCUUCCCAAAGUGCUGGGAUUCUAGGCAUCCACCAUCAUGCCUGGCCAGGAGGAAUCAUUAAAAAAGAAGUUUUAAACCAUAUGAAAUUACUACUAUUAAAUAAUUUAUUAUUAUUAUUAUUAUUAUUUUUGAGGCAGAGUCUCACUCUGUGGCCCAGGAUGGAGAGCAGUGGUGUGAUCUCGGCUCACUACAACCUCUGCCUCCCAGGUUCAAGCGAUUCUCCUGUCUCAGUCCCCUGAGUAGCUGGGACUACAGGCAUGUGCCACCACGCAUGGCUAAUUUUGUAUUUUUAGUAGAGAUGAGGUUUCACCAUGUUGGCCAGGCUGGUCUUGAACUCCUGACCUCAAAUAAUCCACCCUCCUUGGCCUCCCAAAGUGCUGGGAUUAUAGGUGUGAGCUAUCACACCAGGCCAAUGAAUUUUUGAGAAUGGUUUCGUUUUGCUGACCAGACUGAGUGCAAUGGUGCAAUCAUGUCUCACUGCAGCCUCAACCUCCUGGGUUGAAGCGAUCCUUCCUCCUCAGCCUCCCAAGUAGCUGGGACAACAGGUGUGUCCCAUUAGCCACCACACCAGGCUAAUGUCAUCUUAAUCCUCUUCUUUCUCAUUCUUCACACUUAGUAACUCCCAUAAGUUUACACGUUUACACUUGCUUUCUCCCACAGUCCCACAUUUUUUUGCAAGCUCUGCAAGUGUUAUCCAGUUGUUGCUGGGCAUCUCCCGCUGAGAUGGUGCACAGCUGUGCUGGCCAACAUGUGGCUAUUUACAUUCAAAUUCAUUCAAAUUCAGUUCUUCAGUCAGGCUAGCUACAUUUCAAGUCCUCAGGCUAGUGACUACCACAGUGGACAGUGCAGAUGGAGAACAUUUUUCUUUCUCUCUUUUUUUUUUUUUUUGAGAUGGAGUCUCGCUCUGUUGCCCAAGCUGGAGUGCAGAGGUGCGAUCUUGGCUCACUGUAACCUUCAGCUCCCCAGUUCAAGCGAUUCUCCUGCCUCAGCCUCCCGAGUAACUGGGAUUACAGCUGUGUACCACCACGCCCGGGUGAUUUUUGUAUUUUUAGUAGAGACAGGUUUUUGCCAUGUUGGCCAGGCUGGUCUCGAACCUCUGACCUCACGUGAUUCACCUGCCUCAGUCUCUCAAUGUGCCGGGAUUACAGGCAUGAGCCACGGUGCCCAACUGUUUUGUUGUUGUUUUGAGACACAGUGUCAUUCUGUUGUCCAGGCUGGAGUGCCGUGACGUGAUCUCAGCUCACUUCAACCUUUGCCUCCCGGGUUUAAGGACUUCUCGUGCCUCAGCCACCCAAGUAGCUGGGAUUACAGGCAUGCUCCACUGUGCCCGGCCGAGAACAUUUUCAUCAUCACAGAAAGCUGUGUUGGAAAAUGUUAGUUGGUCUACAGAAAUCUCAACUUCAGGUUCCCAAGCUAACUAUCUUCUUAGCAAUUCUGCUCCUGUGUUCCACUCGUAGCAGCCUGAGAGGCAGACAUCAUGACUCCUCUGUUUUCCACACAUUCAAUAAAUGUGGAGUGAAAAAAUGAGUGAUGAGGAACCGAGGCUCACUUAGUAGGUGGCCAAGCUGGAAUUUAAACUCUGACUGUUUAACGGCCCGACAAGGUCAUCGCACACAACUUAGUGCACUCUCAUUUUCAGAAUAUUUUAUCAAACAGGAUUACUGAAGAUGAAGAUUUUAGCUGAGCGAGAUUGGAGAAAGCCUUUCCUUCCUUUUGACUUUUUUUCAGGAAGCUCCUGGAUAGCUGAGGAUAAGACCCCGUAGGAACUUCACCCUGCUUGAGAAUUGUGCAGAGAAGGCUUCCACCUCUGUGCAAUGGAAACCUGUUGUUUGUUUCAGUUUGGAAAUAUAAAUACACUGAAUUAGUCAGCCUGGACUGCCAUAACAAAAUCCACAGACAACAGAAAUGCAUUUCUUACAAUUCUGGAGGCUGGAAGUGGAGGAUGCUGGUGCUGGCAGGUGUGGUCUCUUCUGAGACCUUUCUCCUUUUCUCCCCCUGUGUCCUCACAUGGUCAUCCCUUGGUCUGAGUGUUCUGUGUCCUCAUCUCUUUCAUGAGGACACCAGUUACACUAGAUUAUGGACCACCCUAAUGACCUCUUGCUAAUUUAGUCACCUCUUUAAAGGCCUUAUCUCCAACACAGUCACGUUCUGAGGUACUAGGGGUUUGGACCUCAACACACAAAUUUGGAGGGAAACAAUUUAGCCCACAGCAUAUACUGUUCCCUAGACAGUGGACCUAGGGUCUGUUCUCUUUCACAUUUCUUUUUUUUUUUUUUUUG
rnacentral:lncRNA from 1 species